rnacentral:rRNA from 1 species
GACCCGACUGCUAUCGGAUUGAGAUUAAGCCAUGCGAGUUGAACAUUUUUUAACUAUGUGAAAAGUGUAGCAUACGGCUCAGUAACACGUAGUCAACCUACCCUGAAGUCACAAAUAACCCCGGGAAACUGGGAUUAAUAGGUGAUAUGUCAUUUUUUCUGGAAGGGUUUAUAAUUUAAACGAUUAUCAAGCUUGUUUGAUUAAUUGCUUUAGGAUGGGACUGCGACCGAUCAGGUUGUUGGUGGGGUAAUGGCCUACCAAGCCGAUAACCGGUGCGGGCUUUGAGAGAAGGAGCCCGGAGAUGGACACUGAGAAAAGGGUCCAGGCCCUACGGGGCGCAGCAGGCGCGAAAACUUCGCAAUGUGCGAAGGCACGACGAGGUUAGUCCGAGUGUCAUUUGCUGAAUUUGACUUUUAAUAAAUGUAAGUAGUUUAUGGAAUAAGGGGAGGGAAAGUCUGGUGUCAGCCGCCGCGGUAAUACCAGCUCCCCGAGUGGUUGGGACGAUUAUUGGGCCUAAAGCAUCCGUAGCCUGUUUUGUAGGUCUCAUGUUAAAUCCAUUCGCUUAACGAAUGGUUUGCAUGAGAUACCGCAUUGCUAGGAGGCGGGAGACGUGAACGGUAUUCCAUGGGUAGGGGUAAAAUCCUCUGAACCAUGGAAGACCACCAGUGGCGAAGGCGGUUCACGAGAACGCGCUCGACGGUGAGGGAUGAAAGCUGGGGUAGCGAACCGGAUUAGAUACCCGGGUAGUCCCAACUGUAAACGAUGCAAGCUAGGUGAUGGAUUAGCCAUGUGUUAAUCCAGUGCCGCAGGGAAGCCGUUAAGCUUGCCGCCUGGGGAGUACGGUCGCAAGGCUGAAACUUAAAGGAAUUGGCGGGGGAGCACCACAAGGAGUGAAGCCUGCGGUUCAAUUGGAGUCAACGC